UGGGAAUUUUGGACAAUGGGCGCAAGCCUGAUCCAGCCAUGCCGCGUGCGGGAAGAAGGCCUUCGGGUUGUAAACCGCUUUGUAGGGAAGAAAUCUUCUGAGUUAAUACCUCGGGAGGAUGACGGUACCUGAAGAAUAAGCACCGGCUAACUACGUGCCAGCAGCCGCGGUAAUACGUAGGGUGCAAGCGUUAAUCGGAAUUACUGGGCGUAAAGCGUGCGCAGGCGGUUUUGUAAGACAGAGGUGAAAUCCCCGGGCUCAACCUGGGAACUGCCUUUGCGACUGCAAGGCUUGAGUGCGGCAGAGGGGGAUGGAAUUCCGCGUGUAGCAGUGAAAUGCGUAGAUAUGCGGAGGAACACCGAUGGCGAAGGCAAUCCCCUGGGCCUGCACUGACGCUCAUGCACGAAAGCGUGGGGAGCAAACAGGAUUAGAUACCCUGGUAGUCCACGCCCUAAACGAUGUCAACUGGUUGUUGGGAAGGUUCCUUCUCAGUAACGUAGCUAACGCGUGAAGUUGACCGCCUGGGGAGUACGGCCGCAAGGUUGAAACUCAAAUGAAUUGACGGGGUCAUAGCUGUUUCC
rnacentral:rRNA from 1 species